GUGAGGAAUAUUGGUCAAUGGAGGCAACUCUGAACCAGCCAUGCCGCGUGCAGGAAGACGGUCCUAUGGAUUGUAAACUGCUUUUAUUUAGGAAUAAACCCCCGGUCGUGCACCGGGGCUGAAUGUACUAAAAGAAUAAGCACCGGCUAACUCCGUGCCAGCAGCCGCGGUAAUACGGAGGGUGCAAGCGUUAUCCGGAAUCAUUGGGUUUAAAGGGUCCGCAGGCGGGUAAAUAAGUCAGAGGUGAAAUCCGGCAGCUCAACUGUCGCACUGCCUUUGAUACUGUUUAUCUUGAAUUUUAGUGGAGUGGGCGGAAUAUGUCAUGUAGCGGUGAAAUGCUUAGAUAUGACGUGGAACACCGAUAGCGAAGGCAGCUCACUAACUAUGAAUUGACGCUCAUGGACGAAAGCGUGGGUAGCAAACAGGAUUAGAUACCCUGGUAGUCC
rnacentral:rRNA from 1 species